rnacentral:lncRNA from 1 species
CAAAUAUAAUUAAAGCAAACACAUUAGUCUGCAAUUUGUUUUUUGGUCCACCCCCUCUUGACAAUAUAUUUGGAACAUUCCUAACAAUUCAAGAGACACAGCUCGAUUAUAUUUUUGCUUUUAAUUGCUCUUUCUCUCUCUAUACCUGUGUGUGUGUGCAUGUGUGUAUAUAUUUUGUCUCACAAUUUUUAUUUGCAUUUGGCUUUGAAGGCAUCUCUAUCCCCAUUGUUAACAAGCCUGCUGAUGUCCCAGAAGGUUCACGGCUCCCAGUCCUAUCCGUGGAGGUACAAAAGGCAUCACUUAACAGAAUGUGCUUGAGAGACCCAGUCCAACCAGAGGCCUGCUCCUGGAAGAAAAGAGAAGGAGGGUCCUUUGGUCCAACAGUUUCUGCACGUAGAAAGCCAUUGAGCACUUGUCAGCUCUCCCAUCCCCCGCCGCCCUGCCGAGGUUGCAUUGGAAAGACCCAGAAGUUCUGGAUGACUGAUGAACACCCACAUCUCACAGAAGGAUCGGGACAGGGUGAUGCACACCCAGAGAGAGAGCCGCCCACAGCUCCAUUUGCUCGUCUGUCGAAUGAGGAGGUCGAUUAAAUCAUCUCCCUAAGGACCCUACUGUGCCAACCUUCCGUGAUUCUGAAACUCCACCUCCGCCAUAACUGCUGAGGACCACCUUGUCCAUAAAUAAGUGAGUGGAGCUGUGUAAACUUCCUGAAUUUCUAACGACCAAGAGCAUCUUUCAGGUACGUUGGGAGCCCAGGAUUUUACUUCUAAGCUCAGUAGGCAAGAUUGGGACCUACCAAGACCCGCAGCAACGACACACUCGGUAUCUGUAAACCCAUCUCUCUGGAAGGAUAAGCUGACACAAAGUUUAUUUUUUUUCUUGUGUGUAUAUAUAUAUAUUUUAUUUUGCUCAUUAAGUAAAAUUUUUGUGUGUGUGUUAUUUAUAUAUUUUUUUAAAUUGCUUUAUUGCGGUCAUAAUGGUUUACAACAUGUAUAAUUUUAGGUGUGUAUCAUUAUUAAUCAGUUUCUGUAUAGACUGCAUCAUGCUCACCACCAGUAGUCUAAUUUUUAUCCGUCACCAUAAGAUGUGCCACUUUACCUCUUCCACCCACCCCCCACCCCCUUUCCCUCUGGUAACCACUAAUCUGUUCUUUUUAUCU